GCAGCCAUGGCCCAGUGGUAAGGCGACAGACUUCGACGUUUGUUCAGAGACAAUCUGUAGAUCCAGGGUUCAAUCCCCUGUGGCUGUU